UACGUAGGGUGCAAGCGUUAUCCGGAAUUACUGGGCGUAAAGAGUGUGUAGGCGGUCUUUUAAGUUAGAUGUUAAAUCUGCGGGCUCAACUCGUAGGCUGCAUCUAAUACUGGGAGACUUGAGAGUGGAAGGGGCUGACGGAAUUUUCGGUGGAGCGGUAAAAUGCGUAGAUAUCGAAAAGAACACCAAUGGCGAAGGCAGUCAGCUGGGCCAUUUCUGACGCUGAGACACGAAAGCGUGGGGAGCGAUCGGG
rnacentral:rRNA from 1 species